UGACUGUGCCUAUUUAUGACAGCAGGUUAAUUCACUUGUUAUGGAUCAAUGCGUAGGAUUAAAGAUUCUUAAAUGGUCACACCUGAAUGUUUGUAAAAGUUGUCAUUUUCCUUGCUUGCUAUGACUCUAAUGGGCUUGAAAAUUGGUCCAGCCCGCCUCUUCUCUGUUUCCUUUCUCUCCCUCCUCUCUCUCUUUCUUCCUUUCUUCUUUCUCUCCUCUCUCUCCCUCACCUUCCCCCCUUGUCUCUUUCUCUCACUCUCUGUGAGGUUCAUUUGCUUGACUGAUUCUGAGUGUCCAUAAUGACUGUUUGGCAUAUUCUACAGGCAAAGGUCCCGAGACUCUUUUUGCUGGCUAUAACCUCAAUGAUAACGAGUGGCACACAGUGCGUGUAGUUCGGCGUGGAAAAAGUUUAAAGUUAACAGUGGAUGACCAACAGGCCAUGACAGGUCAAAUGGCAGGUGAUCAUACUAGGCUGGAGUUCCAUAACAUA
rnacentral:lncRNA from 10 species